rnacentral:rRNA from 1 species
AAGCUCAACUUCGGAGCUGCAUUUGAAACUCCUAGUCUAGAGGAAUGGCGGAGAAAAUGGAAUUCCACGUGUAGCGGUGAAAUGCGUAGAUAUGUGGAAGAACACCUGUGGCGAAAGCGAUUUUCUAGCUUUUUCCUGACGCUGAGGCGCGAGAGCAAGGGGAGCAAACAGGAUUAGAUACCCUGGUAGUCCUUGCCGUAAACGAUGUAUACUCGAUGUAGUUAGGCUCAACCCUGACUGUGUCGAAGCUAACGCGAUAAGUAUACCGCCUGGGGAGUACGCUCGCAAGGGUGAAACUCAAAAGAAUUGACGGGGGCCCGCACAAGCAGUGGAGCAUGUGGUUUAAUUCGAUGCAACGCGAAGAACCUUACCCAGGCUCGAAAUGUAGAGGGCGAUACCAGAGAUGGUAUUUUCCGUAAGGACCUCUAUAUAGGUGCUGCAUGGCUGUCGUCAGCUCGUGCCGUGAGGUGUUGGGUUAAGUCCCGCAACGAGCGCAACCCUUAUCAUUAGUUGCCAACACGUAAUGGUAGGAACUCUAGUGAGACUGCCUAGGUUAACUAGGAGGAAGGUGAGGAUGACGUCAAGUCCGCAUGGCCUUUAUGUCUGGGGCUACACACGUGCUACAAUGGUCGGUACAGAAGGCAGCGAAGUCGUAAGAUGGAGCAAAUCCCUAAAGCCGGCCUCAGUUCAGAUUGUGGUCUGCAACUCGACCACAUGAA